rnacentral:rRNA from 1 species
UACGGAGGUGGCGAGCGUUGUUCGGAAUCACUGGGCGUAAAGGGCGCGUAGGCGGGGUCGGAAGUCGGGUGUGAAAGCCCCGGGCUCAACCCGGGAACGGCGCCCGAGACUCUGGCUCUUGAGUCCCGGAGAGGCGGGUGGAAUUCCUGGUGUAGCGGUGAAAUGUGUAGAGAUCAGGAGGAACACCGGUGUCGUAGGCGGCCCGCUGGACGGAGACUGACGCUGAGGCGCGAAAGCGUGGGGAGCAAACGGG